UACGUAGGGUCCGAGCGUUGUCCGGAAUUAUUGGGCGUAAAGAGCUCGUAGGCGGUCCGUUAAGUCGGAAGUGAAAUCUCAAGGCUCAACCUUGAAAUCGCUUUCGAUACUGGCGGACUUGAGGCAGGUAGGGGAAGGUGGAAUUCCUGGUGGAGCGGUGAAAUGCGUAGAUAUCAGGAGGAACGCCGGCGGCGAAAGCGACUCUCUGGCCUGUAACUGACGCUGAGGCGCGAAAGCUAGGGGAGCAAACGGG
rnacentral:rRNA from 1 species